rnacentral:rRNA from 1 species
CAGUAGCCACGGGAAUACGGAGGGGGCUAGCGUUGUUCGGAAUUACUGGGCGUAAAGCGCACGUAGGCGGCUUGGUAAGUUAGAGGUGAAAGCCUGGAGCUCAACUCCAAAAUUGCCUUUAAGACUGCCGAGCUAGCAGGUGAGAGAGGUAAGUGGAAUUCCGAGUGUAGAGGUGAAAUUCGUAGAUAUUCGGAAGAACACCAGUGGCGAAGGCGGCUUACUGGCUCAUACUGGACGCUGAGGUGCGAAAGCGUGGGGAGCAAACAGGAUUAGAUACCCCUGUAGUCCCUGUCUCUUAUAC